UAAGAGCAAAGAGGAUCAAAGUCGGAUAGGGGAAAAGAGAGUAAACGAAUAGCCGUGGACAUCUAAUCGUCGACCACUCCCGAGAUUUUGCUCGUUAGCUAUCGGAUUCGGGAUCAUUGAAGUCGAAGUCAUCCACACUAUCAAAGCCCCCAUUUUGGUACAAUUUUGGUUGAACUUUGAAAUGGCAUGUAUAGGACUACCCUUUUGUUGUAGGUUAUGUACCUUUCGGUUUUGUGUAAAUUCGGAUAGCCAUGCGAAAAUGGCUUAUAUACGUUUCUAGCAUAGUACUAUAAUCGUUUGUAUGUUGAUCAUUAUGAGGUAUGGAAUUGUUUUGAAACGAUUAGCCAUUGGAAUGGUUAAUCAUGAUCACACCUUGUGCUAUGUAUGCAAAA